rnacentral:lncRNA from 1 species
UUCUUAACUAUACUUUAUAUUAUGGUCGGAUAAUUGUACUAUCUUAUCAUGUAUGUGAUGACUCUCUUAUAUAGUUUAAUACAAGUAACUAACCAAAACUAUGCACAAUGUUAUCCUAAUACUAACCACUCAGCAACAUCUCCACCAUCUAAAGUCUACUCCAGGAAAGUCUCAUCUCCCUCUGCUUACACCCACAGGAUGAUCAUUGCAAAGGAAAAACACCACACAUACAAAAUACAAACACAAGUAGAUGGGUAAGCUAGAUAUACAAGAAAUCAUAGUAAACUAAUUCAAGCAUCCUAGUAGGUUAUGUUCUAGACUUGACUAUCCGGACUUCGAAUGAUUGUCGAGCUAUGUGUUAAGUCCCUGGCAAGUGUACCGAAUCUUUAUCAAGUAAUAUAAAACGGGUAAGUCUGAGUAUCGUUUCCCAAAGGACUCUUUAGGCCUUAACUUUCAUGUAAAUUAAUCGCAUAAGACUUGAGAAGAAAUUAAUUUUAGGGUUUGGAUGCAGAACGAAAAUAUACAUGCAAAAUGCAGUGAAUCAAUUGGCUAAAAGAAACUAUGGAUGAAUGGAGUUGUUGCAGUUUAUAAUUUCAUCUUAUCCACCCUCUUAUAUCUACUCUUCAUAUCUAAUUUUCUUAUUUAUCAUAUUGUCAUGCAAACUUUCUUAGUCUACCCUAAACCCAAUCUCUUGGCGAAAAGAGCCUAUUACUAAUUACUGGCUUGCUAUCUCUAGCCGUGCCACCGCUCAGCGGUCAGUUUUACCAUUGAGCGGUUUGCCUCUAAUCGCUCUGGCCGCUCAACGUUGGUUUUUGCCGCUCAACGGUGUAUAUACUCUUCUUUUCUUCCUUUUUCUUCUUCAUUCUUGAGUCUAAGUCCAUCCUAAUUCACUUCCAUCUUCAAUUCUCAUCAAAACCCUGCAAAACAAUGCAAAAACAAGCAUAAUAUCUCUAAAACCAACUUUUGACUCUCUCAUGAAUCAACUAAGU